GGCCUGCUCUUGCUUCUAGUGGCAGAACAGCCAUUGACCUCAAUGAAGGCAGAACUGGACUCUACUAAGGAACGUCCUUGCUGGAGAGAGAGGAGACAGACCUUUGAAAGGAAAGUUGAAGAGGGUUUGGACUGCUGGCUCAUCAGCAAAGUUCCAUCAGUAAUCAAGAUCGUGAAUCCAGCACCCUUGUACAGAAGCAUGACAGACACACUGGAUGCUGCUGGACCAGUGGUGAGAGGGGUGUGGUCAACACCUCCCCUGGCUGCCUCCCGACCUCGCGUGACCCACUGGCACAGGAGACCACACGAGGACCUCCAGAGGGACCAUAUUGCCACCCUGCAAGCCCUGCAGUGCUGCAUGGACCAGCAGGACUGCAGAAUGGAGGAGGGCCUGCAGCUGAGCCAUGAGACCUGACAGGAG